GUGAGGAAUAUUGGUCAAUGGGCGGAAGCCUGAACCAGCCAUCCCGCGUGGAGGAAGACGGCCCUAUGGGUUGUAAACUUCUUUUCAAGGGGAAGAAAGUUCGCGACGUGUCGCGAUUUGCCGGUACCUUUGGAAUAAGCAUCGGCUAACUCCGUGCCAGCAGCCGCGGUAAUACGGAGGAUGCGAGCGUUAUCCGGAUUUAUUGGGCUUAAAGGGUGCGUAGGCCGAUCGAUAAGUCAGCGGUGAAAUACCAUGGCCCAACCAUGGAACUGCCGUUGGUAAUGUCGGUCUUUAAUAUGGUCAAGGUAGGCGGAAUGUGUAAUGUAGCGGUGAAAUGCUUAGAUAUUACACAGAACACCGAUUGCGAAGGCAGCUUACUGGUCCAUUAUUGACGCUGAGGCACGAAAGCGUGGGGAUCGAACAGGAUUAGAAACCCCAGUAGUCC
rnacentral:rRNA from 1 species